UUUGGACCUCCCUUUUAAUAACAUCCAAAUUAGACAAAAUUAUUUUUCCCAAUAAAGAAUACAUUUUUUGGCACAUUUUAUAUAAAACUAGGAAGUAAGAAAUCCUCAACUGCCCACCAGACACUGGCAUUCUAAGAUAAGUAUCAUUCUAUCAUUUUAAGACUUUAAACCACAUAAUAAACUCACUAUUUAAGCAUCUAUUCCAUUCUUUCACUUUUAACAGUUUUAUGUAGACUAUCUUCAAGAACCAAGAUACUGUGCAGAUCUAGCCACCAUUUAAAGCCAUGUUAACCAUUUUAAAGCCUAUGAUCAUCAAUGAUUUACCAAGGUGAAAAUCUUAAUGCCAAAUUUCAGAAUACAUAUAAUUGUCUUCAAACUAAUAAGCUUUGACUAAUCUUAUUUAAUUUAUGAACACUUUUAUUUAUAAACCAAUUUGAUAGCAUGUUAGACAAAAUACACAUCACAGUACCUAUAUAUAUACCUAAACAAACACAUUAAAUAAAGUUAUCUAUAGAAGGCAACUAGAUUAAAUUGUUCACAAAAUCGGGACCAUCUACUUGGCCAAAUUUUGUUUGCCCCAGUAGAUAUGAAAACAGAAAGAGGCAGAGAAGGGGAUCAAAUAUUAUCAAAUAACAAAGGGAGAGAGCAAAUGGCAUUGCUCAAGGGGAGACCCUGGAAACCCUGAGCCACCAAAAAGCUCACCCAACAGUGGAAUCACUGAAGAAAUAUAUUCAGGAAACUGCUUGUCUGCCACUGGGGGAAGGCAUCUGCUGGGUCAAUGGUCCAAGACUCCUAAUAAAGUUACUUGAACAAGGAAGUUUGUUGGGGCUAGUGGAUGAAAUUUAGCCCUAGACUUGAUGGAGAGCUUAUAGUGGGUGCCCAGUUGCUGAUUGAAUAAAGAAUGCAUGAUAAGCUUGGUACUCUGUUUUCAUUACCAUAGAGUAGCCAGUUUAUGUAUAUAAUUAAGAAACUUGAUGUAACUUGAUAUAACAUGCAUAAAUAUGACUUGUUCUAUAUUGCUUAUUUCUUAAAUAAUCUGUCAUUUUACUCUAGGUCAAGAAUUUACUGUAUGAGAUCCCUUCUUUUAUAAAAUUACUAUUUCUUUAUAUCCUUCCUUGCAAAAUAAUAAAUCUUCUAUCAUGAUAUUCUCUAUGUCUCUCUUUUUACUCACUGGUUCCCUUAUAUUUUGAACCUCCCUUUUAAUAACUUCCAAGUUAGACACUCACAUACUAUAGGCUUAAAAAAUUGUUUAGUUUACAUAUAACCCAAAUAUAGAAUAUUUUCCCGGUCCGUAUAAUUUGAUUUAUAGCUCAAAUUGGGCAAAUUUAUAGUCUAGAGAUGAUAUUUAUUCCUUUACAACCUGCCUUGUGUUAUACUGUAUAUACUUUCACUGACUCCAUGAUACACGUUAGUUUUCGUAAGAUCACUGCAUAUUGACAUUGUAAUAUUCAAUAAGGUAUGAGAUUAAAAAGCAAGUUCUAGACGGAGUAGACAUAUCAUGUGGAGUAUGUGGAAUGAAUCAGUACGUAGAAGACUCAGCAGGAGCACUCAGAAAAUAAGAUUGAGGAACUUUGAAAAAGAUGGAGAUGGGUGGUGUAUUUGACUUUUGUGUAAAAAGCAGCUAAUAAAUGGAAACAAUAGCAAAUUAAAAUAAAUAGCAAAUGAAAAUAAAGUAAUGUUGGAAAGUUUUAAGAGUGAAAACUCCAAAGAGGAAAACUACUGAACUGCAACUGUAGAAAAGAACUUAUGGUUUGGCCAAUAAGUAAAACUCCAGGUAAGUACAGCUUUGAGAAUAAUUAAGAAACUUUAUUUUAAAAAUCAAGUUUAUUGAGGUAUAUGAUAAAAAGCUCCAUUUUAAUGGUACAGUUUGAUGAGUUUGGACAAAGGGAUCCCAGAUUUAAUCUCACAAUCAUGACUCCCCCUGCACAAUGUCCCUUGUACCUCUAGGCAAUCCAUCAUUCCACUUGGGGCCUGAUAACCACUGAUCUGGUUUUUGUCACUAUUAGUUACCUUUGUCCAUUCUAGCAAAUAUGAAAAAUUGAAUUGUAUUACUCAGCAUAAGUGUUUUGAGAUUAAUCAUGUAUUGGGUGUAUCAGUGGUUCUGUUGUAUAAAAAAUUCUGUUGUAUGGUUUCUUUAUUUCAUGCUCCUAUAAGAGAGCAUGUGGAAUCGGUAAUUAUUAAAGAACAGAAAUUUAUUUCUUACACUUUCAGAGGUGUAGAAAGCCAAGAUCAAGGUGCCAGCAGGAUUGUUCUCUAGUUCCAAGUUGGUGCUUUGUUGCUUUGUUCUCCAAAGAGGAGGAGCAUUGUUGUCUUGAUGUGCCUAUCAAUCCUUUUAGUAGUGGCAUUAAUUCUAUUAAUUAGGACAGAGGUCUCACUUUUAAACAUCUGAAAGCCUCCAUCUCCCUAUUCCUCCAUGCUGGGGGUCAAGUUUCCAACAUAUGAAUUUUGGGGAAACAUUCAGAGCAUAGCAUGUGGCUAGAGUAAAAUAUCACUAUUCUUUCACUAGCUUGUGGACAUUUAGGUAGUUUCCCUCUUUUCCUUAUUAUGAAUAAAGCUGCUACAUUCAUACACAACUCUUUGUGUGGACAUAUGUUUUCACAACUCUUGGGAAAAUACCAAAGGAUGGAAGUGCUGAGUCAUAUGCCAAGUGUAUGUUUAAUUUUGUGAGAUACUGCCAGUCUGUUUUCCCAAGUUGUUAGACUAUUUUCUAUUCCCAUCAGCAAUGUAGGAAAUAUCUAGUUACUUCACAUCCUUGCCAACACAUCAUAGCCAGAAUUUUAAGUUUUAGCCAUUUUACUAAGUUAAUUGUGGUAUCUCAUUGUGAUUUUAAUUGGGAUUUCUUGGUAACUAUUGAUAUUGAGCAUCAUUUUCUCUCUUUGUGUGUCUGUGUCUGUGUCUGUGGCCAGACUUCUUUUAUGAACUACAUUCAAUUUGUUCAUUUUUGAAUUGGAUUGCCUGUGGCUUGCCUUUUUUAUUUUUCUAAAUGGGGUCUUUGAAAGAGCAGAAAGUUUUAACUCUGAUGAAAUCUAACAUAUUUUUUUUUCUUUUAUGCUUCUUUUAUUGUUCUAGCUAAGAAAUCUUUGCCUAUGUCAAGGCCAUGAAAAUUCUUUGUGGAAGAUUUAUGGUUUUAGAUUUUAAGAUUUGAGUUAAUUUUAGGGCAUAGAGGGUGAGGAGAGUCAAAGUUCCUUUUUUUUUUUUUUUUUUUUUUUGCCAAAAGAAACCCUCCAUUAAUUCAAAACUACGUGUCCCUUGAAGUUAAAAAAGGCAUGAGUUUUA